GCGGACGUUUGCCAUACGCCCUUGAUCGGCAGGUAUGGAUCACCGCGUGGCGACCGGCGUGGACAACGGAGUCCUCCGGAGC
rfam:Pseudomonas sp. Bc-h sc_013, whole genome shotgun sequence.